rnacentral:misc_RNA from 1 species
GAUGAAGAACGUAGCGAAAUGCGAUACUUGGUGUGAAUUGCAGAAUCCCGUGAACCAUCGAGUCUUUGAACGCAAGUUGCGCCCGAAGCCACUAGGCCGAGGGCACGCCUGCCUGGGCGUCACACGUCGUUGCCCCCCCCCAUCUACUCCUUCGGGAUUGCGGGGGGCGGAUGAUGGCCUCCCGUGCGCCUAGCCGCGCGGUUCGCAUAAAUACCAAGUCCUCGGCGACGCACGCCACGACAAUCGGUGGUUGCGAAACCUCGGUUGCCCGUCGUGUGCGUUCGUCGCGCAUCGAGGGCUCGAAAAAAUGCUCGGCUCCGGCUCGGCUUUCAACGCGACCCCAGGUCAGGCGGGGUUACCCGCUGAAUUUAAGCAUAUCAAUAAGCGGAGGA